rnacentral:rRNA from 1 species
GAACUUAGCAGAGAUGCUUUGGUGCCUUCGGGAACUCUGAGACAGGUGCUGCAUGGCUGUCGUCAGCUCGUGUUGUGAAAUGUUGGGUUAAGUCCCGCAACGAGCGCAACCCUUAUCCUUUGUUGCCAGCGGUCCGCCGGGAACUCAAAGGAGACUGCCAGUGAUAAACUGGAGGAAGGUGGGGAUGACGUCAAGUCAUCAUGGCCCUUACGAGUAGGGCUACACACGUGCUACAAUGGCGCAUACAAAGAGAAGCGACCUCGCGAGAGCAAGCGGACCUCAUAAAGUGCGUCGUAGUCCGGAUUGGAGUCUGCAACUCGACUCCAUGAAGUCGGAAUCGCUAGUAAUCGUAGAUCAGAAUGCUACGGUGAAUACGUUCCCGGGCCUUGUACACACCGCCCGUCACACCAUGGGAGUGGGUUGCAAAAGAAGUAGGUAGCUUAACCUUCGGGAGGGCGCUUACCACUUUGUGAUUCAUGACUGGGGUGAAGUCGUAACAAGGUAAGCGUAGCGAG